AGAGUUUGAUCCUGGCUCAGGAUGAACGCUGGCGGCGUGCCUAACACAUGCAAGUCGAGCGAUUCUCUUCGGAGAAGAGCGGCGGACGGGUGAGUAACGCGUGGGUAACCUGCCCUGUACACACGGAUAACAUACCGAAAGGUAUGCUAAUACGAGAUAAUAUGCUUUUAUCGCAUGGUAGAAGUAUCAAAGCUUUUGCGGUACAGGAUGGACCCGCGUCUGAUUAGCUAGUUGGUAAGGUAACGGCUUACCAAGGCGACGAUCAGUAGCCGACCUGAGAGGGUGAUCGGCCACAUUGGAACUGAGACACGGUCCAAACUCCUACGGGAGGCAGCAGUGGGGAAUAUUGCACAAUGGGCGAAAGCCUGAUACAGCGACGCCGCGUGGAGGAAGAAGGUCUUCGGAUUGUAAACUCCUGUUGUUGAGGAAGAUAAUGACGGUACUCAACAAGGAAGUGACGGCUAACUACGUGCCAGCAGCCGCGGUAAAACGUAGGUCACAAGCGUUGUCCGGAAUUACUGGGUGUAAAGGGAGCGCAGGCGGGAAGACAAGUUGGAAGUGAAAUCCAUGGGCUCAACCCAUGAACUGCUUUCAAAACUGUUUUUCUUGAGUAGUGCAGAGGUAGGCGGAAUUCCCGGUGUAGCGGUGGAAUGCGUAGAUAUCGGGAGGAACACCAGUGGCGAAGGCGGCCUACUGGGCACCAACUGACGCUGAGGCUCGAAAGUGUGGGUAGCAAACAGGAUUAGAUACCCUGGUAGUCCACACUGUAAACGAUGAUUACUAGGUGUUGGGAGGAUUGACCCCUUCAGUGCCGCAGUUAACACAAUAAGUAAUCCACCUGGGGAGUACGACCGCCAAGGUUGAAACUCAAAGGAAUUGACGGGGGCCCGCACAAGCAGUGGAGUAUGUGGUUUAAUUCGACGCAACGCGAAGAACCUUACCAAGUCUUGACAUCCUGCGACGGACAUAGAAAUAUGUUUUUCCUUCGGGACGCAGAGACAGGUGGUGCAUGGUUGUCGUCAGCUCGUGUCGUGAGAUGUUGGGUUAAGUCCCGCAACGAGCGCAACCCUUAUGGUCAGUUACUACGCAAGAGGACUCUGGCCAGACUGCCGUUGACAAAACGGAGGAAGGUGGGGAUGACGUCAAAUCAUCAUGCCCUUUAUGACUUGGGCUACACACGUACUACAAUGGCGUUAAACAAAGAGAAGCAAGACCGCGAGGUGGAGCAAAACUCAGAAACAACGUCCCAGUUCGGACUGCAGGCUGCAACUCGCCUGCACGAAGUCGGAAUUGCUAGUAAUCGCAGAUCAGCAUGCUGCGGUGAAUACGUUCCCGGGCCUUGUACACACCGCCCGUCA
rnacentral:rRNA from 1 species